AUGCAAGUCGAGCGAACGGACGAGAAGCUUGCUUCUCUGAUGUUAGCGGCGGAYGGGUGAGUAACACGUGGAUAACCUACCUAUAAGACUGGGAUAACUUCGGGAAACCGGAGCUAAUACCGGAUAAUAUUUUGAACCGCAUGGUUCAAAAGUGAAAGACGGUCUUGCUGUCACUUAUAGAUGGAUCCGCGCUGCAUUAGCUAGUUGGUAAGGUAACGGCUUACCAAGGCAACGAUGCAUAGCCGACCUGAGAGGGUGAUCGGCCACACUGGAACUGARACACGGUCCARACUCCUACGGGAGGCAGCAGUAGGGAAUCUUCCGCAAUGGGCGAAAGCCUGACGGAGCAACGCCGCGUGAGKGAUGAAGGUCUUCGGAUCGUAAAACUCUGUUAUUAGGGAAGAACAUAUGUGUAAGUAACUGUGCACAUCUUGACGGUACCUAAUCAGAAAGCCACGGYUAACUACGUGCCASCAGCCGCGGUAAUACGUAGGUGGCAAGCGUUAUCCGGAAUUAUUGGGCGUAAAGSGCGCGWAGGCGGUUUUUUAAGUCUGAUGUGAAAGCCCACGGCUCAACCGKGGAGGGUCAUUGGAAACUGGAAAACUUGAGUGCAGAAGAGGAAAGUGGAAUUCCAUGUGUAKCGGUGAAAUGCGCAGAGAUAUGGAGGAACACCAGU
rnacentral:rRNA from 1 species